AGAGAGUGAGAGAGACUAUGUUUAUCUGUCUGUCUGUCAAGCUCAGACUGAUGACUACCCAGGGGGAGCAGCACCUGGAGGCUAGCACUGUUGCUGUUCUCCUGGACAGCAGAGCACAGGAAGCAGACAAUAGCCUGUGGUAUUCUUAUUGUUUUCUGCUUAACUGAGUAUGUGGACUCACCGUCAUCCUUAAAUACCUGGACCAGGAAAGCUAGGAAGCCUGAUAUUGAGGGUGUUUCCACAUCACCCCGUUGUUGGUAUAGCCUGGAGUUAAGAGUUAAGGUAAGAUGCCUGGAGUAAACAGUUGGUGUCUGUUAGUCAGCGUUCCUUGCUUGGAGUAGACAGUUGGUGCCUGUUAGCAUCCCUCACUGUCCCUCUAAAUGUUUUAAGACUGGGAAAUACCCAGUCCCAUGAUUGGACUGUAGAUUAUAGACAUGUGUUGAACACACUGUACCUUAUGAAUAUGCACUUAAGGAUAUUAAUAACUAAUGUAAAGUCUGUAUCAGCCUGAGUUUUGGUUGAAGGCUUCAUAGUUAAUCAGUACUUAGCAAUUUGUGCCGUGUUUCCAUUUGUGUAAUGAACCACUGGGCUUAAUAAAUACAUAUGCAUUUUUUUUCAUGUCAAGAAGAGGAGUGCUUCAAGAGACACAGAUGGCAAAUCUGGUGAGGACACUGGCUCAGUGGGCUCCCGGAAAGGCAUAUAGAACACAAUAACAACCUCCAUUCAGAUAAGUGGUAUUAAGGUCUGUGCUGCCAACAACUGGCCAUUUCAGAGGGAGGUGGAAGUGCGGGCCAAAGUGAAUGAGAAAUUCAGCCGCAGACAGACAGUUCGAUAUGGAGGCUGGCCGAGUGCACGGCCAUAGUUUAUAGGCACUGGUACAGUGGAUGGAGAGUGAGCAUCUUAGCUAACCCCACAUGAUCCUACAGAAAUCCAGCAGUUCAUUAGGGCUCCUGCCUGAAGAUGCUGUGACUCUUUAAAGCAGUGUCCUUAGGCCCUCCCUAGAUGUGGACAAGCACUUCCUUUCCUAAUGACCACCUCAGCUUCAUGAGGAACUAGAAACUGCAGAAGGAAAAAAAAGCCUAUUAUUUACAUUAUUCCAAUUGGUAUUUCCUCGUACAUUACACUUUUGUUUUCCAGACCCAUUACAUUUCCUGUGUGGCUAAUUAGGUUAGGCAGUUCCUUUAAUUUACACACAGUUUCCUGCAAUUUACACUCAUUUCUCAGAAAAAAACCGCUGGCUAAGCAUUCCCGUCCUCUACUCUUAGAGAGCAGACCAAGGUUACCGCGAGCAGCCGAGUGUUUGACCGUUUCUUUAAGGACUGGGCACUCAGACAGUGACUUUGCUCUGAGACGCUAAUGAUAGGGAGAGGGUCUGUGAGGGGAGAGUGACAAUCUGAAGGAACAGACCGGGGAAAUGGUGUGAGGAACAGAUAGGAAGAGAGGGUUAGCAUGGGGGAGGGCAGAGCAACCCAUGACCUCAUAGGUCACUGGCUCUGACCGGUCUGCUCUGGAAGAGAUUGGAAUUUCACGUGUGGAUUAUGUUUCCGUGGGUGCUCCAUCUUGAUGAUGGCGUCUGUUUGCUCCAUUCCUGAAGUGAUUUGCUAAGAAUGUAGACGUGAGUGCUGUGGAAGGUGGGUGAGCAUCUUAGCUAACCCCACAUGUGUCGUACAUACAUCCAGCAAACCUGCAGAAAGCACUCUGACAGUGUCUCUUAUUGACCUGAAGUCUAGACUGACUGGCCAGUGAACUCUGGGCCCCACCCCCUGAAUGCUGCCAUUUUGUGUGAGUGCUACUAUGACCAGGUGGUUUGGAGCUGACCAAAUGUGCACGUAAUGAGCCUGUGUACAUUGCGUGAGUACUUCUCAUUCUCCUUUCUCAGAGAAUUAUUCUAAAGUUCAAAUGAGAAGGAAAUGGAUGCAUGGAGGCUGAAAGCUUUGUCUCACUCCGGCCUCACAGGAUUUCAUUUUGACAAUUUCCCUCGUUGAUUCCUCAGACAGCUGCAGCCCUUGGUGGCUCUGUAUGCUCCUGCCUCACACCUCUGAUGAUUCGUCCCCUGGAAAGUUUUGUUCAGGCGCUUAUAUCCCAUGGCUUUGAAGCCAUCUAUCAAAACUCUCUGCCAGGAACUGCAUUAAGAUGUUGGCAGCAGGUGGCUGCUUCUCCCCAACUGCACUGCUUGUUCCAAGCAAGCAAAGACCAGAGAGGGACGGAAAGAUUCUCUAUGCUUUUCAGUUAGCCAAAUAAUGUGGAUUAUGAUGCCACCUUCCUUGGAACUUUCCACAAGACGAGCAUGUGCUGACCUUCUACAGCGUCAGAGACUCCUUUCUGUUACAAACAAACAAACAAACAAACAAGCAAACAAGCACUCUCUGGCUUUAAAUGCCCAUCCUACGGAGACCACGUCAUGUUGCCCUGGAAGUUCAUGCAUUUGCUGCUUCUAGCAAGAGCGGUUGAAAGAGCAGGACAAAGCCAUCAGUACGCAGGAAAGGAUGAAGGCAGUUUGUAAUCCUAUAAAACACUUUGAGGCUUUCAGAAGGUGCUAUAUACAUCAAUAAAUAAUAAUAAUUUUCACUCUUUCUUCUUUGUAAUACUCCCUCAGAAGGUUGAAAAUAAAAUUUCUUUCAUUA